UACGUAGGGUGCAAGCGUUGCCCGGAUUUACUGGGCGUAAAGAGCGCGCAGGCGGUCGUUCAAGUCGCGUGUGAAAGCCCCCGGCUCAACUGGGGAGGGUCACGCGAUACUGAUCGACUCGAAGGCAGGAGAGGGAAGUGGAAUUCCCGGUGUAGUGGUGAAAUGCGUAGAUAUCGGGAGGAACACCAGUGGCGAAGGCGACUUCCUGGCCUGUUCUUGACGCUGAGGCGCGAAAGCUAGGGUAGCAAACGGG
rnacentral:rRNA from 1 species